rnacentral:rRNA from 1 species
UACGUAGGGGCCUAGCGUUGUCCGGAUUUAUUGGGCGUAAAGAGCUCGUAGGCGGUUCGGUAAGUCAGGUGUGAAAUCUCCACGCUCAACGUGGAGGCGCCACCUGAAACUGCCGUGACUCGAGUCCGGUAGGGGAGUGUGGAAUUCCCGGUGUAGCGGUGAAAUGCGCAGAUAUCGGGAAGAACACCCGUGGCGAAGGCAGCUCUCUGGGACGGUACUGACGCUGAGACGCGAAAGCGUGGGGAGCGAACAGG